CGAUUUAACUUCCAUGAAGAUCCGCACAUUGCACUUACCUGCGCAACACAUUCGGCUGUAUAAGUGCGGUCCGACCUCUCCGCACGUCAUCUCAUAGGUUUGCAUUCCAACCCAGAGGUGGCAUACCUGAUAAGAGUUCAACGAGUCAACAUCUGAGGAAUAAACUCAACCGCUGCCAUGUGAUCAGUCAGUGUCGCAUCAGUUCAAGAUCUGAUCCAGUCACUAUCUGUGCAUGUCAUAAAGAGGGAAGACUGUUGUAUGCGCCCAGCUCAAAAACUAAACAUUUGUGUGACCUCUCAGUGAGUGUUAUCGGGAAACGAAACACUUCAAAAUGAAGGAGCAAGCCCUGAUUCAUCCUUGAAUGACUUACUAUGUUGGUAUGUCUGGCGGUUUGUGAAAGUGGUGUGGUGGUGAAAAUGUUUUUUGGCGACAGAAAUAUGAGCGUGAGUGGGGAAAAAUAGGAGUGCGUGUGUGUGUGCGUGUGUGUGCGUGUGUGUGUGUGUGCGAUGGCAAACAGCGUGAGGGUGAGUCAUCUGGGUGUGUGUGCCCUGGGCGGGAGCUCUUGACCUUCAUCUCACGAGGAACAAUCCCCAGCAGCACCAGCAGCCACAGCAGCAGCUAUUGGGCACUGCCCACCCACAUGCACCACACAACUGGGCAUCACACAAAAGGACUACACACAAUGGGGGGGGGGGGGGGGGGUGUCCAAUGAGAUGAAUAAAAAGGAUGCAUGGAGCUGGAAGGAUGGAGAAGAGGAACGGAUAGACAGACUUGAGAAAAGUGGCUUUGACUCUCUCUUGCCUUGUGUUUAAAUUUGUGUAACUGACUCAGACAGUGAGACAACGGUUUGAAAAAGUAGUGCUUAACAUCCCUGUACCUCUCACAAACACACACAUACACACACUUUCUCUCUCUCUCUCUCUCUCUUUCUCAAACAAUUCUGUUAAUUUAAAGCACAGGACCUUCAAAGCAUGUGUUUGGGAAUUCAUUCUGUUCCAUUUAAUACAAUACCAGUGCAGUCAACUUUACCAAGCACUACAAUCCGAGCGAAUGUUUUCACUUAGUGCACCACAGACAUCUGGCUUGACGGCAAGUCAAGGUCUGUCUUGCUUCAGUACUUUAGUAUUUCAGAGACAUGCACCUU